GCAACAAAAUUGUUGUAACUUGCAACAAAAUCUGAUUUCAACGCAUGUUAAGUAGCAAUGUCGACACAUGUUGCCUUUUGAUUUGUAAUUUAUGUGUAAACGUUUUCAAUUUGUUUCAUUGAAAUCAGAUUUUGUUGCAAGUUGCAGCAAUUUUGUUG